rnacentral:rRNA from 1 species
AUUGAACGCUGGCGGCAUGCCUAACACAUGCAAGUCGAACGGCAGCACAGCAGUAGCAAUACUGUGGGUGGCGAGUGGCGGACGGGUGAGGAAUGCGUCGGAAUCUGCCCAGUUGUGGGGGAUAACUAGCCGAAAGGUUAGCUAAUACCGCAUGAGACCGAGAGGUGAAAGCGGGGGACUCGUAAGGGCCUCGCGCGAUUGGAUGAGCCGACGCCGGAUUAGCUUGUUGGUAGGGUAAAGGCCUACCAAGGCGACGAUCCGUAGCUGGUCUGAGAGGAUGAUGAGCCACACUGGAACUUAGACACGGUCCAGACUCCUACGGGAGGCAGCAGUGGGGAAUAUUGGACAAUGGGCGCAAGCCUGAUCCAGCAAUGCCGAGUGUGUGAAGAAGGCCUUCGGGUUGUAAAGCACUUUUGUCCGGAACGAAAAGCGAUGGAUUAAUACUCUGUCGUGCUGACGGUACCGGGUGAAUAAGCACCGGCUAACUUCGUGCCAGCCGCCGCGGUAAGAC